rnacentral:tRNA from 1 species
UGGCCCCGUGGUCAAGCGGUUAAGACACCGCCCUUUCACGGCGGUAACACGGGUUCGAGUCCCGUCGGGUCAU